CGUUUUUUUUUUAUAAAUUUCCUACAGAAUAUAUUCGGAAAUUCUAACGCAGGAAAAUCUUAUCCUACAUUAUUAUAUGUCAUCUAAGUGAGCAAAUCCUCUACAAGAUGAAAAUAGGCAAGAUUAUGUGUGCCAUGUUAUGGUGCUAAUAUCAGUUUUAGCAGGAACAGCUAGUGGAGUGCCACCUCGAGGACGACUUGAAUUUCGCAGUUUAAAACGAGAUUCUAAUGCCAACACUCUAGAUAGAAUGGUAAAAAGAGAUUAGUUGAUCUGUGGCACAACAAACUGGAUCUUUCAUCAUUAAAUAAAAGAAGUUGAACUUAAUUUUA